UUUUAAGAUUUUAAAAACUUCUAGGGUAAACUUAAAACUCUCCAAUUAAGCGUAAAACUCCUUUCCUCAUCGCUGAUGAGUCAAAGCUAGCUUCCCCCAAAAUUGAGCUUUAACUCCUAAUCAGUCCCAUCCCUUCUUCUUCUUCAAAAUCCAAGCUUUGUUUUCCAUAUUGCGGCACUUGCUGAACUUGAAAGAGCACUGAAGUAAUUUCUUACCAUUCAGCAGCCACGAUCUGAACAUUUGCAAUUGAAGAACAGUUACAGGUGUCUUGACCUGGCCUCGUCACUACUCUACCGAGAUCCAGGUACGUCUGCUCGUGCCGGUGGUUAAUGAUCAUCUGUUAGUUGCUUUACAUAGACUUCAAGGUAUGCCUGCUCGGCGUCCGCAGGCCUCAGAGUCACCUUCCUUUACUCUUACUACUGUUGUAUUUUCAUUCAGAUAGUGAUGUAGUAGGCACUCUAGUAUGACUCUAUAGAGCUUAUGACUCAUUUCCACCGGUCUUGGGGAGUGUAUUGUUGUUGAUUAUGUUUUCGGAAGUUUAUAUCAAUUAUUCAGCCUUGUUUUAGUA